AGAGGCUGGCCAACAGUAGUAUGAAGCCAGCUCACCUCCAGCGUCACCUAAAGCGUUUUCAGUAGCGUCACCACAAGGCCUAACAUGUUUGAGUUCACGUUGAACAGGACGGUGCUGAGGACACCGUCGGUGGUGCCAGACGACUGUGUCACUGAUCUCAAUCUCUGGGAGAAGUUAUCGUUCACAUCAGUCGCCUGAGCCAGCUGUGGUCAAGAGUCAAGACGUAAACACAGCAGCAUGGUGAAAGAGUUUGGAGAUUUAUUCCUUGAUGGGGAUUGUUUCAUCAUUUGUAUAUACCAAGGGCCGAACAGCGCAAUACUCAUAAAAAAACAACAGCCCUUGGAAGUGGUUUGAUCUACAUGGACUUGUUUUGAAGGUGCCCCAUUGUAUCAGGGUCUCUCAAACGGGUCAGCCAUGCAAUGUGAUGGAGCGUUUUUGACAUUCCAGCGCAGCCCGUCAUCUUUCCCCAACACCCUUCUUCUCUCAGCUAAUCCCCCCAUUCUCACUCAUUUGAGAGACCCUGCAUUGUAUAUUAUGUAUGGCUGCGAAUUUCUGACGCUUAUAUAAUUGAACUACGUCAAUACUUAGCAGAUAAUGUAUUUUACCAUCAUUCAUUACUUUAUGAUAUAAGGAUUUGCAACAAUAUUAAAUUUUUUUCCACCUAAUAAUAGAAAAGUAACUCCACUACUGUAUAGAAGUCUCGACUAGAAGUAUGGAAUUGGACAACACCCACAACAAGGACGGAUAGAUGCGACAUGUCACCAGCGACCACCAGCUCCUUAAUUUAUUUCACGCCGUAUUUUUAAUAUCGGUUCUCUCAAGUAUGCCGCACAAUAUGUAAACGUAAAUCUACAUCUACAGUACCCAUGCACUUCUAUGGCCUAACAUACGUCUUACUAUUCAGUUUUAUUCUAAAUGUAACUCCUUGAUCUCAUUCCAUGAGUUUGAUGGGGUUGCUCCACGCUGAUUGGCUUAAAAAACGUUUGCCAAACGAGAACACGAUUGGUUUGCUUAUACGCGAUUUGGCCCAACCGCAUUUUCAAACUGCGCGAGAGUUCCGCAGCUGGCCGAUAUGUGGGAGCUCCGCUCUUCUCGUGCCUCUUUCAUUUGCAGUCUGCCAGCACUGAGUACAGAUGGAAUCUCUUCACUCUGCCUAUAAUUCACCAAGAUAGCCUCGAAACGUCCUUCAUCUGCAUGUGGGGUUAUUUUUAUAAGUGGAAUUUUGAUAAAGUGGUAAAACUCAGUGGAAGAUGGUGACUGACUGUGGUGUGAGUGGUGAAGGCAGUGACUACAGUGAGGCAUGAAGAUGCUGUGAGAAUGCAGAAAUAACCUCUGAUCUUCAGUGACAUGAAAUGUGGAUGAAGAAAAAGAAAGACUCAUGGGAAAAGGAUAUGGAGCCCUCAGUCUUUUUCUGAUGACUCAGGUUCAACUGUGGUCUUUCCUCUGGAUAAGAGUCUGCCUGCACCUGCAAAAUUGGAUGAUGCAGAUGACAUAUAUUCUCCUUCAUAUUCCCUGAAGAGCAUCAAUACCAUAACUGAGAAACUGGACUUAAGAAGUGACUCGAUGGAAGAGCAGCUCCAGUACAUCCCUCAAACAUUCACUACAGAUGAAGCCACAAACAUAAACAGAUUAUUUUAUUUUAUUCCUUUCUUCUUCUUUUUCUUUUUUUUUUCUUGGUGAAAAGGAAUUCCUAAAAUUUUUAGCUACCAGCAUUUUUUGUAUAUAAAAAUUGUUUUUGUAUCUUAGCUAUUUAUGAUUUAAUUAAUUUUGUUACUGUU